UACGGAGGGGCGAAGCGUUAUCCGGAUUACUGGGUGGUAAAGGGUGCGUAGCCGGAAAUAAAAGUCAGAUGUGAAAGCCCCGAGGCUCAACUUCGGGACUGCAUUUGAAACUCUAUUUCUAGAGUGCAGGAGAGGAAAGUGGAAUUCCUAGUGUAGCGGUGAAAUGCGUAGAUAUUAGGAGGAACACCAGUGGCGAAGGCGACUUUCUGGACUGUAACUGACGGUGAGGCACGAAAGCGUGGGGAGCAAACAGGAUUAGAUACCCCGGUAGU
rnacentral:rRNA from 1 species